rnacentral:rRNA from 1 species
UACGGAGGGUGCAAGCGUUAUCCGGAUUCACUGGGUUUAAAGGGUGCGUAGGAGGGUAGGUAAGUCAGUGUGAAAUCUUCGAGCUUAACUCGGAAACUGCCGUUGAUACUAUCUAUCUUGAAUACCGUGGAGGUGAGCGGAAUAUGUCAUGUAGCGGUGAAAUGCUUAGAUAUGACAUAGAACACCAAUUGCGAAGGCAGCUCGCUACACGAAUAUUGACUCUGAGGCACGAAAGCGUGGGGAUCAAACAGG